rnacentral:rRNA from 1 species
UACAAUGGAGAGUUUGAUCCUGGCUCAGGAUUAACGCUAGCGGGAGGCCUAACACAUGCAAGUCGAGCGGGAUUAUGUUAUUAGCUUGCUAAUGACAUAUGAGAGCGGCGUACGGGUGCGUAACACGUGUGCAACCUGCCUUUAUCAGGGGGAUAGCCUUCCGAAAGGGAGAUUAAUACCCCAUAAUAUACAGAUUGGCAUCAAUUGGUAUUGAAAACUACGGUGGAUAGAGAUGGGCACGCGCAAGAUUAGAUAGUUGGUGAGGUAACGGCUCACCAAGUCGAUGAUCUUUAGGGGGCCUGAGAGGGUGAUCCCCCACACUGGUACUGAGACACGGACCAGACUCCUACGGGAGGCAGCAGUGAGGAAUAUUGGACAAUGGGUGAGAGCCUGAUCCAGCCAUCCCGCGUGAAGGAUGAAGGACCUAUGGUUUGUAAACUUCUUUUGUACAGGGAUAAACCUAUCUACGUGUA